rnacentral:rRNA from 1 species
GACGGAGGGUGCAAACGUUGUUCGGAAUUACUGGGCGUAAAGCGCGUGUAGGCGGCUAUGUAAGUCGGGCGUGAAAUCCCACGGCUCAACCGUGGAAGUGCACUCGAAACUGCAUAGCUAGAGUCCUGGAGAGGAAGGUGGAAUGCUUGGUGUAGAGGUGAAAUUCGUAGAUAUCAAGCGGAACACCGGUGGCGAAGGCGGCCUUCUGGGACAGUGACUGACGCUGAGACGCGAAAAGCGGUGGGGAGCAAACAGGG